GAAGAAAGGUGGAGGAAGGACAACAAACUGUCUCUUGCUGGCUCUCCCUUGGUCUGCAGUGGAGAACCACGUGGUCCCUGUCUGCUUUUGCCUGCAGUCUACAGAGGACCAGAAUUAUUCACAAAAUCAAUGACUAUGUCUACUCCAGUGAAUUUCAUUGUCUGCCUCUGGAAGUGCAACCAACUGGUAAAGAACAUCACUUCAAAUUACUUUCAGAAAUGAAGAUCUGGAAAGUCAUUAUAAGUACAUUGUCUAUAAGCAAUAGGAAAUAUUGGAAUGAACUGUCAUACCUGUAAACUAUG